rnacentral:rRNA from 1 species
CCUACGGGUGGCAGCAGUGAGGAAUAUUGGUCAAUGGACGAGAGUCUGAACCAGCCAAGUAGCGUGAAGGAUGACUGCCCUAUGGGUUGUAAACUUCUUUUAUAUGGGAAUAAAAUGUUCCACGUGUGGGAUUUUGUAUGUACCAUAUGAAUAAGGAUCGGCUAACUCCGUGCCAGCAGCCGCGGUAAUACGGAGGAUCCGAGCGUUAUCCGGAUUUAUUGGGUUUAAAGGGAGCGUAGGUGGAUUGUUAAGUCAGUUGUGAAAGUUUGCGGCUCAACCGUAAAAUUGCAGUUGAAACUGGCAGUCUUGAGUACAGUAGAGGUGGGCGGAAUUCGUGGUGUAGCGGUGAAAUGCUUAGAUAUCACGAAGAACUCCGAUUGCGAAGGCAGUUCACUGGACUGCAACUGACACUGAGGCUCGAAGGUGUGGGUAUCAAACAGGAUUAGAAACCCGAGUAGUC